rnacentral:rRNA from 1 species
GUGUGCUUACAAGUAGUCAGAGCCCGUUAAUGGGUGAUGGCGUGCCUUUUGUAGAAUGAACCGGCGAGUUACGAUUUGAUGCAAGGUUAAGCAGUAAAUGUGGAGCCGUAGCGAAAGCGAGUCUGAAUAGGGCGUUUAGUAUUUGGUCGUAGACCCGAAACCAGGUGAUCUACCCUUGGUCAGGUUGAAGUUCAGGUAACACUGAAUGGAGGACCGAACCGACUUACGUUGAAAAGUGAGCGGAUGAACUGAGGGUAGCGGAGAAAUUCCAAUCGAACCUGGAGAUAGCUGGUUCUCUCCGAAAUAGCUUUAGGGCUAGCCUCAAGUGAUGAUUAUUGGAGGUAGAGCACUGUUUGGACGAGGGGCCCCUCUCGGGUUACCGAAUUCAGACAAACUCCGAAUGCCAAUUAAUUUAACUUGGGAGUCAGAACAUGGGUGAUAAGGUCCGUGUUCGAAAGGGAAACAGCCCAGACCACCAGCUAAGGUCCCAAAAUAUAUGUUAAGUGGAAAAGGAUGUGGCGUUGCCCAGACAACUAGGAUGUUGGCUUAGAAGCAGCCAUCAUUUAAAGAGUGCGUAAUAGCUCACUAGUCGAGUGACACUGCGCCGAAAAUGUACCGGGGCUAAACAUAUUACCGAAGCUGUGGAUUGUCCUUUGGACAAUGGUAGGAGAGCGUUCUAAGGGCGUUGAAGCAUGAUCGUAAGGACAUGUGGAGCGCUUAGAAGUGAGAAUGCCGGUGUGAGUAGCGAAAGACGGGUGAGAAUCCCGUCCACCGAUUGACUAAGGUUUCCAGAGGAAGGCUCGUCCGCUCUGGGUUAGUCGGGUCCUAAGCUGAGGCCGACAGGCGUAGGCGAUGGAUAACAGGUUGAUAUUCCUGUACCACCUAUAAUCGUUUUAAUCGAUGGGGGGACGCAGUAGGAUAGGCGAAGCGUG